rnacentral:rRNA from 1 species
GAUGAACGCUGGCGGCGUGCCUAAUACAUGCAAGUCGAGCGAACGGACGAGAAGCUUGCUUCUCUGAUGUUAGCGGCGGACGGGUGAGUAACACGUGGAUAACCUACCUAUAAGACUGGGAUAACUUCGGGAAACCGGAGCUAAUACCGGAUAAUAUUUUGAACCGCAUGGUUCAAAAGUGAAAGACGGUCUUGCUGUCACUUAUAGAUGGAUCCGCGCUGCAUUAGCUAGUUGGUAAGGUAACGGCUUACCAAGGCAACGAUGCAUAGCCGACCUGAGAGGGUGAUCGGCCACACUGGAACUGAGACACGGUCCAGACUCCUACGGGAGGCAGCAGUAGGGAAUCUUCCGCAAUGGGCGAAAGCCUGACGGAGCAACGCCGCGUGAGUGAUGAAGGUCUUCGGAUCGUAAAACUCUGUUAUUAGGGAAGAACAUAUGUGUAAGUAACUGUGCACAUCUUGACGGUACCUAAUCAGAAAGCCACGGCUAACUACGUGCCAGCAGCCGCGGUAAUACGUAGGUGGCAAGCGUUAUCCGGAAUUAUUGGGCGUAAAGCGCGCGUAGGCGGUUUUUUAAGUCUGAUGUGAAAGCCCACGGCUCAACCGUGGAGGGUCAUUGGAAACUGGAAAACUUGAGUGCAGAAGAGGAAAGUGGAAUUCCAUGUGUAGCGGUGAAAUGCGCAGAGAUAUGGAGGAAUACCAGUGGCGAAGGCGACUUUCUGGUCUGUAACUGACGCUGAUGUGCGAAAGCGUGGGGAUCAAACAGGAUUAGAUACCCUGGUAGUCCACGCCGUAAACGAUGAGUGCUAAGUGUUAGGGGGUUUCCGCCCCUUAGUGCUGCAGCUAACGCAUUAAGCACUCCGCCUGGGGAGUACGACCGCAAGGUUGAAACUCAAAGGAAUUGACGGGGACCCGCACAAGCGGUGGAGCAUGUGGUUUAAUUCGAAGCAACGCGAAGAACCUUACCAAAUCUUGACAUCCUUUGACAACUCUAGAGAUAGAGCUUUCCCCUUCGGGGGACAAAGUGACAGGUGGUGCAUGGUUGUCGUCAGCUCGUGUCGUGAGAUGUUGGGUUAAGUCCCGCAACGAGCGCAACCCUUAAGCUUAGUUGCCAUCAUUAAGUUGGGCACUCUAAGUUGACUGCCGGUGACAAACCGGAGGAAGGUGGGGAUGACGUCAAAUCAUCAUGCCCCUUAUGAUUUGGGCUACACACGUGCUACAAUGGACAAUACAAAGGGCAGCGAAACCGCGAGGUCAAGCAAAUCCCAUAAAGUUGUUCUCAGUUCGGAUUGUAGUCUGCAACUCGACUACAUGAAGCUGGAAUCGCUAGUAAUCGUAGAUCAGCAUGCUACGGUGAAUACGUUCCCGGGUCU